AGAGUUUGAUCAUGGCUCAGAGUGAACGCUGGCGGCAGGUCUAACACAUGCAAGUCGAACGGCAGCACAGAGGAGCUUGCUCCUUGGGUGGCGAGUGGCGGACGGGUGAGGAAUACGUCGGAAUCUGCCUAUUUGUGGGGGAUAACGUAGGGAAACUUACGCUAAUACCGCAUACGACCUACGGGUGAAAGCGGAGGACCUUCGGGCUUCGCGCAGAUAGAUGAGCCGACGUCGGAUUAGCUAGUUGGCGGGGUAAAGGCCCACCAAGGCGACGAUCCGUAGCUGGUCUGAGAGGAUGAUCAGCCACACUGGAACUGAGACACGGUCCAGACUCCUACGGGAGGCAGCAGUGGGGAAUAUUGGACAAUGGGCGCAAGCCUGAUCCAGCCAUGCCGCGUGUGUGAAGAAGGCCUUCGGGUUGUAAAGCACUUUUGUCCGGAAAGAAAAGCACUGGGUUAAUACCCUGGUGUCAUGACGGUACCGGAAGAAUAAGCACCGGCUAACUUCGUGCCAGCAGCCGCGGUAAUACGAAGGGUGCAAGCGUUACUCGGAAUUACUGGGCGUAAAGCAUGCGUAGGCGGUUUGUUAAGUCUGAUGUGAAAGCCCUGGGCUCAACCUGGGAAUGGCAUUGGAUACUGGCAAUCUAGAAUGUGGUAGAGGGUGGCGGAAUUCUCUGGUGUAGCAGUGAAAUGCGUAGAUAUCGAGAGGAACAUCCGUGGCGAAGGCGGCCACCUGGACCAACAUUGACGCUGAGGCACGAAAGCGUGGGGAGCAAACAGGAUUAGAUACUCUGGUAGUCCACGCUCCUAAACGAUGCGAACUGGGAUGUUGGGCUCAAUUGAGAGCUCAGUAUCGAAGCUAACGCGUUAAGUUCGCUCGUCUGGGAAGUACGGUCGCAAGACUGAAACUCAAAGGAAUUG
rnacentral:rRNA from 1 species